GACGAACGCUGGCGGCGUGCUUAACACAUGCAAGUCGAACGAUGAAGCCGGAGCUUGCUCCGGUGGAUUAGUGGCGAACGGGUGAGUAACACGUGAGCAAUCUGCCCUUGACUCUGGGAUAACUGCGGGAAACUGUAGCUAAUACCGGAUACGACACCUUGGGGCAUCCCAGGGUGUGGAAAGAAUUUCGGUCAAGGAUGAGCUCGCGGCCUAUCAGCUAGUUGGUGGGGGAAUGGCUCACCAAGGCGACGACGGGUAGCCGGCCUGUGAGGGUGACCGGCCACAAUGGAACUGAGACACGGUCCAGACCCCUACGGGAGGCAGCAGUGGGGAAUAUUGCACAAUGGGCGAAAGCCUGAUGCAGCCACGCCGCGUGAGGGAUGAAGGCCUUCGGGCUGUAAACCUCUUUUAGCAGGGAGGAAGCGAAAGUGACGGUACCUGCAGAAAAAGCACCGGCUAACUACGUGCCAGCCGCCGCGGUAA
rnacentral:rRNA from 1 species